rnacentral:sRNA from 1 species
AAUCAAAAUGUGCCAGUGUGUGUGUGUGCGUGUGUGUGGGUUAGCAGCAGGAAGAGCUUUUGCGCCAUAAGCAAAAUGCCAAAAUGCCUAAAACUGUCAAGGGGCCGCUUUUGAGUGGUCAAUCAAAUGUUGUUUUGAAGGUUUCUGUGGUCUUGCCGUUUCGACAACUGCGUCAUCGGGUUGGAGCAACUGUCAAUUUGUUUGUAUCGCGGUGUUGCCGCCAAUUUAGCUUAGUCCUAAAACAUUUCUGAGUAAAAGAUAUUGCAACAUAACUAGAUAUAAGUGUAUUGAAUCUAUAUUUUAUAUUAGAUUGUAUUAACUAAAUUUAAUUAUGUUUGGUAAUGUAUUCCCAUUCACAUUCUACAUUGUUAAUUCAUCAUUUCAUAAUAUUCUAUUUCACUCAGCUAUCUGUCAAUGUAUCUGUGUUUAAUCGACUGUUCUUAUAAAAGCAAAAUCUAAUUAAAACGAUAUUUAAUUUCAUUUCAUGUUUAUUUUUCCAAAUUUCAUUGAAAAUACCUAAUUAAAAGCACAAAGAUAUUGGUCAUGCCAUGCACUUCGUUAUUUUCAAAACAAAGUAUAAAAAAACGCUUUGCACUCAUCGCACAGAAAUAUGCUUCUUGUAAAUUAAACACGCACACAAUUCACAAAAUUUUAAUGAACGAAAAUACAUUUCUUUUUGACAACGUGCUAAUCAAUGUUGUCACUUGAAGGUUGUCUGGCUUGAAAGAGGACAAAAUUGAGCGACAUCAGACGGCUGCGUAUUGAUGGAUUGGCAAACAGGUAAAUACCCAAUAUUUUAUAAUUGGCCUUUACUGGGUGAAACUAAAUUCGAAAUUAAUUCUGUAGGUCAAAGAAUGACAGCACAUGGACAAAGGAUUGAUCAAAUAAAUGAAUAGUCGUGAAUUGAGAAAUUUAAGCUUGAAUAGAUUAAUUCCCAGAAUCAUAAAAGCAGAAUAAGUCUUAUGUUACAAUUAACCUGAGGCCAUUGAAUCAAUUAUCAUUUCCCAUAAUUACUUGUAGUAUCAUUUGACACACGCUUCAGUUUCUCGGGAAAUUAAAAAUGAACUGAAUGCUACAUAUAUUUUGUGAAUAAUUUACCACAUAAAUUUCAUUGGCCAGAUACUCUCACAAUUUAUAUAUAUAUUUAAACAGUGCGGCAGGCGAAAACAGAAGGCCGCAAGAUUAUAUUAUCAUUGAAAUUUCAUUAAAAUUAUUUUAACAAAAUAAUGACAACGAAACCAGUCGGUAGACAGAGCCGACAGUCCGUCCCUGCUGUUCAGUAGCAAAAGCUGGCGAAGCGUGCAAAAUGUUAUGCAUAAUUGAUAGCAAACAGAAAUCAAUCAAUCAUAAAAUGUCAACCUCGCCCGAAAACCUCUGCCCACACAAAAACCCAAGAGGAAGGAAUUGUGAAAGGCGGUAAAUGUGGCAAAUAAAUAGACAAGACAAAGGACAUUUUGAAUGCCUAAUCAUAUAAGAUGGAAUUUAAUUGAAAUUCUUGUGACAAAAGCGGCAGCAGGCUGUAAUGUGUGCCUCAAGAGGAGGAUCGCUUUAAAAUGUCGUUAAAGUUCUAUUAAAGCCAUAAAUCGAUUGGCUUUAAUUACAAUUUAAAAUAUAACAAUCACAACAGCUGCCUAAAUAAGUUAUAACUUUUGAUUCUGCCCAAAUUGAAUGCAAUUAUCGUAUAAUUUAAUAAAAAUGUAUUAUACACAUUGCUAAAAGCGUUUGAAAUGUGCAUUAAUAAUGCACGCAUUUUAUAAAUAUUUUGCAGGCAUCAAUAAAUAUCAAAUCUAUCAUUACGGGGGCACACAAAUAAUUCUGUUCAGCGGUGUGCAAUUGCAAAAUACUUCAACCAAAAAAGUUUCAACUCACUCAAACUGAAAAUAAAGAACAAUCGAAAUUUAAUUAAAUCGAUGGCAAAGGAAUGCUGGGUAACCAUUCGUUUUAAUGAUAUUUAAUAUUGUCGGUAUUUGGACGUCAAAUGGAAUGCAGAGACAGUUUAAAUACAAAGUGAGUGUCCUUUCGACAAGUGUCAUAAAAUAUGAGCCUUAUGAAAUCGGGAAUACAUGUACAAUAUAAUAUAUAUUCAGUAGCAUCUACUUAAGUUUGAAUAUCGUUUUUUUUUCCCAAAUAUAAUAAAUAGUGCGCUUUCAAUGUUUCUUUGUAGCCUGAUGGCUUGAAAUGUAAUUAAGCAAUCCGUUUUUCACACGAAUGGCUCAUUUAAUAUCCAAUGUUUAAAAUGCUCUUAUUUUCCAUAUAAUUUGUAGCGUUUUUUAUUUUUGUUCAUUGCAAUUUAUCAUACAAAAAUUUCAAUGUUAAUUAAAUCGAAUACCCAAAUGAGCCACAUUAUUUCGCAUAGCCACACGCACUCUGGCGGUUUCAAUUUACAAGCGAACGUACAUAAAUUAUUAAUUAUAUUACACUUUUUUAAUAAACCGGCUGCAGUUUAUUAAACAAACAGCCUUCACAUCGUCGUCGUCGUCGUCGUCAGGGAAAAGUGCCUCUGUGAGCGGCAAAUUGCCUGUCAAUGAAUUUCAACACGCCGUCCGUAAAGUAUUCAUCCUGGUAAUUAAAGCGUUAAAUGGAAAACAAAAGCAAACCGAUCAAAACUUUUGCCCCGGCCCAAAAAUCUUUUAGUCAUGGAAAACUUGUGCGCAGAACUAAAACUUUUGUGCCGCGGAGUUGGGAAAUGGGAAAUACAUAUACACUCAACAGCCGACAGACAGGCAUUGCAAUAAUGAGUUGUAAGCGCGCCAGUUCACACAAAGGAUUAACAACAAUAGCUUCACGCAUCUUCCAUCGCAAAGUCCCUCCUUCAUUUAUUCAUUCACUGAUGUAUGCCGCGUUCAUUACCCAAAGGAUGCCCAAUGAAUGGUUAACGGUUCCGGCCAACAAUGGGAUUAAGAUAUUAUCGGACAGGCGAGUCGAGAAGUGGAAAUGCUGCUCGGGGAUUACUUUCAUUUUGGUCGAUGAUGAAAUUGUUUUCGCAAAACUCUGUCAACUUUGAAUCGAAGUUUAGGUCGGCAAAGUAAUAGAUAUAAAGUUGGGAACCAGUACCAGUAUUUAUAUUAUACAUUCACAUAAGUUAUAUAUUAUGUUUGGUAAACUCCAUUACUUGCAGUUGCAUAACAUUCCACUUCAACAUAAGUGCAUUACACUCAAGACCUGCUAUUAAGACGCACUCAGUGCAAGGCCAGACUAAUCAAGCAACUAAAAUCUAAUUCAUCAAUGGGUUAAAUCCUCCACGUCGACAUGCCUUAUUACUCGCACACAAAAUGUGUGGAAAGGUAUUGAAUGGACUGAGGAAGGGAGGCGGCGACAGACGUGAAAUGGAGGGAAAUGGGGGAAAUGGGCUCGAAAAUCUCGACGAAAAUCCAACGUGAAACCGCAACACAAAAAGACUUAAAUGGGUUUAGCCCAGCUUUUGUAUGUGCAAUCACCAGAAAGCCAGAAAAGGGAUCACACCCAAAACAGUAGAGACUAGAGACCCUUCACCCAACUGAACUCUGAACUCAUUUUCACAUCAUCUUUGGUUUUCCCUGUCAGUACAAAUGUCAAAGAUUUUCAAAUGUUUGACGAGGGCCAAAAACCUUUAUUGAUAAUUGUAAGACAAUUUUGUUGUAUUUUUUUGUUGUCUGCGGUUUCAGAUUGUUUUUGAAAUGCAUUAAAAGGGCACAAACAUCACCUGCGA